UCCUGCGCGCACAAAGUCAGCCCCGUUAGAGAGAGGAGAGACCAGACGACACCUGACCCCACUCUGGAGAUCCUCCCAAGUCCCACCGGAGGCAUCUUGCAAAACGUGAUUUACUGCCACAGUAAAAGAUCAGGGAAAAGAGAGGAGAUUGCAUCGCGGAGUCACCGACAGCCUGAUGUUUAUAAGAUUUCAUGAUGACCCCGGGAGGCCUAGCGCUGCUAAAACAACCGCCACGGAGUUGCAGUCCCUAAAUUUUAAUGCUGUGAAGAAAAAUAAAACUUGGUUUUAUCAAA